GAAGAUUUGCCCGCGCGCGGCCGUCCGCGGCUGCAUAGCAUCACAGCCGUUACGGGUUCGGCUGGGGGGACAAUCGAGUUACUGCGCUUCCCAGGGCCAAAGGAAGCCGGGCUGCCAUCCCUCCCGAGCCCCGUCCGUUUGUUUGUCUGCUCAUUCAUUCAGCCGUUCCUCCUCCCUCCCCCAGUCUCCCUUCCUCUUUCCCCCAAGUCUCCGUCACUCCCACAAACAAGGAAACGCAAGAGCUCCAAUCCUUACCUGGCCGGGUGAAAGUCGCCCAGCCCCAAGGAGGCAGAUGGAGGCGGGGAGGAGGAGGAGGAGGAGGGAGGAGGGAUUCGGCUCAGCUCCUCCGGCCGUUCUGCCCGGGCUCCAUCUCCGGGCGGCCCAACGAGCCCCUGCUAGCAGCUGCUUCUUUUACCGAGCCCCAGGGCACGGCAGAGGAGUCCUCCCGCCCCGUCGGGCAGCUCGGGGGGCAGACAGAUUUGAAAUGAUGGAAUCACGGAAUAAAUGUGAGUGACAAAUCUGAAGACACCAUAAUUUCCCUCAAAGCCAACUCCAAUGAUGUCACCACAAAGAGCCAAGGGAUCUGACUCUUAGCAGAUUCAGGGUAAAGUGGAAGAAAUGCCAGAGCUGGGAACUCUGAGGGGAAUGAAGGAGGAAGAAAUGUCUCUGUAACUGCAAUGAAGGAGGACUAAAUGUCUCUGUUAGUGCACAGGAUGAUGAAUAUGGAAAUAUGUUUAGAAGAAUUGCAC